rnacentral:rRNA from 1 species
UACGGAGGGAGCUAGCGUUGUUCGGAAUUACUGGGCGUAAAGCGCACGUAGGCGGCUUUGUAAGUUAGAGGUGAAAGCCUGGAGCUCAACUCCAGAAUUGCCUUUAAGACUGCAUCGCUUGAAUCCAGGAGAGGUGAGUGGAAUUCCGAGUGUAGAGGUGAAAUUCGUAGAUAUUCGGAAGAACACCAGUGGCGAAGGCGGCUCACUGGAGCUGGUAUUGACGCUGAGGUGCGAAAGCGUGGGGAGCAAACAGG